rnacentral:snoRNA from 11 species
CGGAGGACUGAGAAAAUAAGGCAGUUGCACGUACUGCAUUUAUUGGUUAUCACCUCCAAAAUCAAAAUGGUGCAAACGCAAAUCAUGUUCCUUUGACCAUAUAGGAAUAUGGCUGCUGGUUGCAUAUACAGU